CUCUUGGCAGCUUGCCUGCUGCUUCCAUUGCGGGCCAGCAGAACAAGCAGGAGAGACGGCGAAGAGGGCAAGUGGCUGAGAGGCUAUGGGGCUGGGCAGGGGGCAAUGGGGAGUCACAUGAGGUGCCCCUGGGGUGCCCCUCCAGGCAGUGGGGCCCCCAGACAACUGUCUCCCCUUGCCCUAUCAUUGUUACGCGCCUGCUUUCCUAGCACGUGCCACAUAGACAAUAGUGUGUGAAUUUGGCAACACCAAGCCUCCUGUAUGCCCCCUGCUGGCUGGAAGGAGAUUUGUCAGUUGAUCCUACUUUGAAUCGACAGAACAGAAGAGGAAGAGCAUUGCAGCUUGAAAUUCAGCACUGAUUGUAAUAAGAUCCUGUUCAGGUUGAAUCAGAAAGGCCCCACUCUGAAUAUACAUGUGCACACACUGCCUCGAUACUGCCACCAAGAACAAAAUUCAUUCCACACACAGAUGAAAAAAAUUGGUGAGAACACUGGUCCUGUCUUUACAGAAUAUGUUCAUGUUGGAGUGAGGAGGAUUCCCUUUUGCAGGCAACUGGUAGUGAUAAUGUGACAUAGUGGCAUUCUACGUGUGUAAAAUAAUGCCAAACAAUUCCCAGAUU